UACGAAGGGGCAAGCGUUGUUCGGAAUUACUGGGCGUAAAGGGCCAGUAGGCGGCCAACUAAGUCGGAUGUGAAAUCCCCAGGCUUAACCUGGGAACUGCAUCCGAUACUGGAUGGCUUGAAUUCGGGAGAGGGAUGCAGAAUUCCAGGUGUAGCGGUGAAAUGCGUAGAUAUCAGGAGGAACACCGAUGGCGAAGGCAGGUCUCUGGGCCGGAUACUGACGCUGAGGAGCGAAAGCGUGGGAGCGAACAGG
rnacentral:rRNA from 1 species